rnacentral:tRNA from 1 species
GGAAGUGCAAGGCUCACUGGUGGGGCCCCCGGACUUCAAAUCCGGUGUAUCGUCGCGAGGCGAUGGGUGGGUUCGAUUCCCAUGCACUUCC